AUCCAGCUACUCUGUUGAUGGCAUAAGAUGAACCGGCAACCAAGGAAACUUGGUGAACGCCACCCUCGAAUGCUUUCUAUCAAUGGUUGAGAACGGGGAUUGAUAAUCUAAGGAUAACUGAACUAUUUAGCGGAAUGCACCGGUUUAGAGGUGGUCGAGCGAAGCUAAAGAUGUUUAGUUACAUGUAGAUCUUUGUUCAAAUCAUGUUCGUAAUCAAAGUUUGAAUUCCAGUUGCGGGUUGAAUCUUUUUAGUUUAGUUUAAUUUCCGCUGGUGUUUAGUUUAAUUUAUGUAAUCCGCUACUAGUUUUCUUUGUAAUUUCUGUCGCAAACUUAAAAACUUGGUAUAAUAUUUAACAUUUUACCAAAAAAAAAAAACUUUCUUCCCACGUAUUUUGUUCUUCAAGGUAGAUAUUUUCUGGCUCUCUUAUCUCAUGAUUUCCUUAAAACAUGACGGAUGCC
rnacentral:lncRNA from 1 species